rnacentral:rRNA from 1 species
UACGGAGGGUGCAAGCGUUAUCCGGAUUCACUGGGUUUAAAGGGUGCGUAGGUGGGUCUGUAAGUCCGUGGUGAAAUCUCCGAGCUUAACUCCGAAACUGCAUUCGAUACUGCCGUGCUUGAGGACUGGAGAGGAGACUGGAAUUUACGGUGUAGCGGUGAAAUGCGUAGAUAUCGUAAGGAAGACCAGUGGCGAAGGCGGGUCUCUGGACAGUUCCUGACGCUGAGGCACGAAGGCCAGGGGAGCAAACGGG